UACGAAGGGGGCUAGCGUUGCUCGGAAUCACUGGGCGUAAAGGGUGCGUAGGCGGGUCUUUAAGUCAGGGGUGAAAUCCUGGAGCUCAACUCCAGAACUGCCUUCGAUACUGGGAGUCUUGAGUUCGGGAGAGGUGAGUGGAACUGCGAGUGUAGAGGUGAAAUUCGUAGAUAUUCGCAAGAACACCAGUGGCGAAGGCGGCUCACUGGCCCGAUACUGACGCUGAGGUGCGAAAGCGUGGGGAGCAAACAGGG
rnacentral:rRNA from 1 species